rnacentral:rRNA from 1 species
UGAAUACGAGAUGCUACGGCGUCGAAGCAGUCUAUGUCAUACUUCCAAGAAAAGCUCGCACUGUCAUAAACAAAUAAUGCCUGUACCAUAACCGACACAGGUGGGUAGGUAGAGUAUACUAAGGGGCGCGAGAUAACUCUCUCUAAGGAACUCGGCAAAAUGACUCCGUAACUUCGGGAGAAUGAGUGCCUUAUUUAUAAGGUUGCAAUAACAAGAUCCAAGCAACUGUUUAUCAAAAACACAGGUCUCCGCUAAGUCGUAAGACGAUGUAUGGGGGCUGACGCCUGCCCAGUGCCAGAAGGUUAAAGAAGUUGGUUAGCAUUCGCGAAGCUGAUAACUGAAGCCCUGGUGAACGGCGGCCGUAACUAUAACGGUCCUAAGGUAGCGAAAUUCCUUGUCGGGUAAGUUCCGACCCGCACGAAAGGCGUAAUGAUUUGGAUACUGUCUCGGAGAGGGGCUCGGUGAAAUAGACUUGUCUGUGAAGAUGCGGACUACCUGCACCAGGACAGAAAGACCCUAUGAAGCUUUACUGUAACUUGAGAUUGAAAUUGGACUUUACUUGCGCAGUAUAGGUGGGAGGCGUUGAUAAUAUUCUUGCGGGAUUAUUUGAGCCAUCAGUGAGAUACCACUCUUGUAAUGUUAGAUUUCUAACUUUGUAUCAUUAUCUGGUCAAAGGACAGUUUCAGGCGGGCAGUUUGACUGGGGCGGUCGCCUCCUAAACGGUAACGGAGGCGCACAAAGGUUUCCUCUGAACGGGUAGAAAUCGUAUCUAGAGUGUAAAGGCAUAAGGAAGCUUGACUGUGAGACCUACAAGUCGAGCAGGGACGAAAGUCGGUCUUAGUGAUCUGACGGUGCUGAGUGGAAAGGCCGUCACUCAACGGAUAAAAGUUACUCUAGGAUAACAGGCUGAUCUCCCCCAAGAGUUCACAUCGACGGGGAGGUUUGGCACCUCGAUGUCGGCUCAUCGCAUCCUGGGGCGGUAGUACGUCCCAAGGGUUGGGCUGUUCGCCCAUGAAAGCGGUACGCGAGCUGGGUUCAGAACGUCGUGAGACAGUUCGGUCCAUAUCCGGUGUAGGCGUUAGAAUAUUGAGAGGAGCCUUCUUUAGUACGAGAGGACCGAGAAGGACAUACCUCUGGUGUACCAGUUAUCGUGCCAACGGUAAACGCUGGGUAGCUAUGUAUGGAGUGGAUAACCGCUGAAAGCAUCUAAGUGGGAAGCCCACCUCAAGAUAAGUAUUCUCA